rnacentral:rRNA from 1 species
GACGAACGCUGGCGGCGUGCUUAACACAUGCAAGUCGAACGGAAAGGCCCUGCUUUUGUGGGGUGCUCGAGUGGCGAACGGGUGAGUAACACGUGAGUAACCUGCCCUUGACUUUGGGAUAACUUCAGGAAACUGGGGCUAAUACCGGAUAGGAGCUCCUGCUGCAUGGUGGGGGUUGGAAAGUUUCGGCGGUUGGGGAUGGACUCGCGGCUUAUCAGCUUGUUGGUGGGGUAGUGGCAUACCAAGGCUUUGACGGGUAGCCGGCCUGAGAGGGUGACCGGCCACAUUGGGACUGAGAUACGGCCCAGACUCCUACGGGAGGCAGCAGUGGGGAAUAUUGCACAAUGGGCGGAAGCCUGAUGCAGCAACGCCGCGUGCGGGAUGACGGCCUUCGGGUUGUAAACCGCUUUCGCCUGUGACGAAGCGUGAGUGACGGUAAUGGGUAAAGAAGCACCGGCUGACUACGUG